UGUGUGUAUAAAGUCUCGUCAUUGCUGACAGUGCACUCAUCACUGGGAAUCAGAGCUUAGUACGGACUGCAACAAGUUCAGCGCGUUUACUUUGAGUUAUUCUUCUCUUUGUUUUGUUUCAUAUUAUCGGAACCUAAAGUCAUUUUUUGUGUUUUUGUGGCUUUGAGAAGUUAUUCAGCAUUGCACAGAUUGUGAGACGUUAUUUAGCGUUAUCGCAGAUUGUGAGAAGUUAUUUAGUUUUAUCGCAGAUUGUGAGACGUUAUUUAGCUAUAUAGUUAUUGCGCAGAUUGUGAGACGUUAUUUAGCGUUAUCGCAGAUUGUGAGAAGUUAUUUAGUUUUAUCGCAGAUUGUGAGACGUUAUUUAGCGUUAUCGCAGAUUGUGAGACGUUAUUUCGUUUUAUCGCAGAUUGUGAGACGUUAUUUCGUUUUAUCGCAGAUUGUGAGACGUUAUUUAGCUAUAUAGUUAUUGCGCAGAUUGUGAGACGUUAUUUAGUUUUAUCGCAGAUUGUGAGAAGUUAUUUCGUUUUAUCGCAGAUUGUGAGAAGUUAUUUAGCUAUAUAGUUAUUGCGCAGAUUGUGAGAAGUUAUUUAGUUUUAUCGCAGAUUGUGAGAAGUUAUUUCGUUUUAUCGCAGAUUGUGAGAAGUUAUUUAGCUAUAUAGUUAUUGCGCAGAUUGUGAGAAGUUAUUUAGCUAUAUAGUUAUUGCGCAGAUUGUGAGAAGUUAUUUAGUUUUAUCGCAGAUUGUGAGAAGUUAUUUUGUUUUAUCGCAGAUUGUGAGAAGUUAUUUAGCUAUAUAGUUAUUGCGCAGAUUGUGAGACGUUAUUUAGUUUUAUCGCAGAUUGUGAGAAGUUAUUUCGUUUUAUCGCAGAUUGUGAGAAGUUAUUUAGCUAUAUAGUUAUUGCGCAGAUUGUGAGAAGUUAUUUAGCUAUAUAGUUAUUGCGCAGAUUGUGAGAAGUUAUUUAGUUUUAUCGCAGAUUGUGAGAAGUUAUUUUGUUUUAUCGCAGAUUGUGAGACGUUAUUUAGCAUUGCACAGAUUGUGAGACGUUAUUUAGCAUUGCGCAGAUUGUGAGAAGUUAUUUAGCGUUAUCGCAGAUUGUGAGACGUUAUUUAGCUAUAUAGUUAUUGCGCAGAUUGUGAGAAGUUAUUUUGUUUUAUCGCAGAUUGUGAGAAGUUAUUUCGUUUUAUCGCAGAUAGUGAGAAGUUAUUUAGCUAUAUAGUUAUUGCGCAGAUUGUGAGACGUUAUUUUGUUUUAUCGCAGAUUGUCAGAAGUUAUUUAGCUAUAUAGUUAUUGCGCAGAUUGUGAGAAGUUAUUUAGUUUUAUCGCAGAUUGUGAGAAGUUAUUUAGCAUUGCACAGAUUGUGAGACGUUAUUUAGUGUUAUCGCAGAUUGUGAGAAGUUAUUUAGCGUUAUCGCAGAUUGUGAGAAGUUAUUCAGCAUUGCACAGAUUGUGGGAAGUUAUUUAGCGUUAUCGCAGAUUGUGAGAAGUUAUUUAGUUUUAUCACAGAUUGUGAGAAGUUAUUUAGCAUUGCACAGAUUGUGAGACGUUAUUUAGUGUUAUCGCAGAUUGUGAGAAGUUGUGUUGCAGUGUUUGGUGUUAUCGGAGGCUGUGGGUAGUUGUGUUAUCGGAGGUUGUGAGUACAUAUAAUCGGAGGCUGUGAGUAGUGUUUCUGUAUUUGCGCUGGACACUUUAUCUGUAUUGUAGUGUUUGUUUGCUUCUCUCACAUUGUGUAUCUGUUUGUGUACAAGUCACAAUUCCCAGUGCAGUUGUGCUCUGUGUAGUGUCGGUGUAAGAUGGUGGACAGUGUGUACCGUACCCGCUCCCUGGGAGUGGCAGCAGAGGGUCUCCCGGAUCAGUAUGCAGAUGGCAAAGCUGCCCGAGUCUGGCAUUACUAUAUUGGGGACAAACGCAGCCGAACAGAUGAGUAUCGCUGUUGGAUCCAGUCACUGCUGCAAAGACACAAUUGUCAGACAGUGCUGGACGUGGCAUGUGGCACGGGGUGAGCAUUAGUACUGUCUGAAAAUACCCCUAACACAGAGCUGUAUCAGGACUGCCCCAUCACACAAGGACAAAUUGUAACAUUUUAUUAGAAAUCAGCAGGCUGUCUAAGCAGCAUGGCUCUCAUGGCAGCAUAGCCCUCUAAGUAAGGUUUCCCCAUGGAUAGUGAGGCCCCCUUGGGUAAUGUGUCCCUCUUGGCAAUGUGGUCCGCAGGGCAGUGGGGCCCCCUUGGGUAAUGUGUCCCUCUUGGCAAUGUGGUCCACGGGGCAGUGGGGCCACCUUGAGUAAUGUGUUCCUCUGGGCAGUGUGGUCUGCGGGGCUCCCUGGGAUAAUGUGUUCCUUUUGGCAAAGUGGUCAGCUGGACAGUGAGACUCCCCUGGGUAAUGUGUCCUUCUUGGCAGUGUGGUCCGCCAGGCAGUGAGGUCACCUUGGGUAAUGUGGCCCUCUUGGCAGUGUGGUCCGCUGGGAAGUGGGGCCUCCUUGGGUAAUGUGUCCCUCUUGGCAAUGUGGUCCACGGGGCAGUGGGGCUCCCUUGGGUAAUGUGUCCCUCUUGGCAGUGUGGUCUGUGGGGCCCCCCUAGGUAAUUUGUCCGUCUUGGCAAUGUGGUCCGCUGGGCAGUGAGACUCCUUUGGGUAAUGUGUCCUUCUUGGCAGUGUGGUCCACUGGGCAGUGAGGCCCCCUUGAGUAAUGUGUCCCGCUUGUCAAUGUUGUCCGCUGGGCAGUGAGGCCCCCUUGGGUAAUGUGUCCCUCUUGGCAAUGUUGUCCGCUGGGCAGUGAGACCCCCUUGGGUAAUGUGUCCCUCUUGGCAAUUUGGUCCACUGGGCAGUGAGGCACACUUGGGUAAUGUGUCCCUCUUGACAGUGUAGUCUGUGGGGCCCCCUUUGGUAAUGUGUCCCUUUUGGCAGUGUGGUACACUGGACAGUGAGUCCCCCUUGGGUAAUGCGUCCCUCUUGGCAAUGUGGUCUGCUGGGCAGUGGGGCCCCCUUGGGCAGUGUGGUCCAUGGGGCAGUGGGGUCCCCUUGGAUAGUGUGUAAUUCUAGGCAAUGUAGUACACUGGGCAGUGGGGCCCAUUUGGGUAAUGUGUCCCUCUUGGCAGUGUAGUUCGCUGGGCAGUGCGGCCCACUUGGAUAAUGUAUCCUUCUAGGCAAUGUGGUCCACUGGGCAGUGAGGCCCUCUUGGGUAAUGUGUCCUUCUUGGCAGUGUGAUCUUCUAGGCAGUGGGGCCCCCUUGGGUAAUUUGUCCCUCUUGUCAAUGUUGUCCGCUGGGCGGAGCGUCCCACUUGGGUAAUGUAUCCCUCUUGGCAGUGUGGUCUGCGGGGCAGUGGGGCCCCCUUGGAUAAUGUGUCCUUCUAGGCAAUGUGGUCCACUGGGCAGUGAGGCCCACUUGGGUAAUGUGUCCCUUUUGGCAAUGUGGUCCACUGGGCAGUGGGGCCCCCUUGGGUAAUGUGUCCCUCUUGGCAAUGUGGUCCGCUGGGCAGUGAGACCCUCUUGCGUAAUGUGUCCCUCUUGACAGUGUAGUCUGUGGGGCCCCCUUGGGUAAUGUGUCCUUUUGGCAGUGUGGUACACCGGACAGUGAGUUCCCCUUGGGUAAUGCGUCCCUCUUGGCAAUGUGGUCUGCUGGGCAGUGGGGCCCCCUUGGGCAGUGUGGUCCAUGGGGCAGUGGGGUCCCCUUGGAUAGUGUGUAAUUCUAGGCAAUGUGGGCCACUGGGCAGUGGGGCCCCCUUGGGUAAUUUGUACCUUUUGGCUGUGUGGUCUGUGGGGCAGUGGGGCCCCCUUGGAUAAUGUGUCCUUCUAGGCAAUGUGGUCCACUGGGCAGUGGGGUACCCUUGGGUAAUUUGUCCCUUUUGGCUGUGUGGUCUGUGGGGCAGUGGGGCCCCCUUGGAUUAUGUGUCCCACUAGGGUAAUGUUUCCCUCUUGGCAGUGUAGUCUGCAGGGCUGUGGGGCCCCUUGGUUAAUGUGUCCCUCUUGGCAGUGGGGCCCCCUUGGGUAAAGUGUCCCUUUUGGCAGUGGUGCCUCCUUGGAUGAUGUGUCCCUCUUGGCAGUGUGGUCCAUGGGGCAGUGGGGUCCCCUUGGAUUUGUCCCUUUUGGCUGUGUGGUCUGUGGGGCAGUGGGGCCCCCUUGGAUUAUGUGUCCUUCUAGCAAUGUGGUCCACUGGGCAGUGGGGCCCACUUGGAUAAUGUGUCCCACUUGGGUAAUGUUUCCCUCUUGGCAGUGUAGUCUGCGGGGCUGUGGGGCCCCUUGGUUAAUGUGUCCCUCUUGGCAGUGGGGCCCCCUUGGGUAAUGUGUCCCUUUUGGCAGUGGGGCCUCCUUGGAUGAUGUGUCCCUCUUGGCAGUGUGGUCCAUGGGGCAGUGGGGUCCCCUUGGAUAGUGUGUUCUUCUAGGCAAUGUAGUCCACUGGGCAGUGGGGCCCAUUUGUGUAAUGUGUCCCUCUUGGCAGUGUAGUUCGCUGGGCAGUACGGCCCACUUGGAUAAUGUGUCCUUCUAGGCAAUGUGGUGCACUGGGCAGUGAGGCCCUCUUGGAUAAUGUGUCCCUCUGGGCAGUGUGGUCUGCUGGGCAGUGGGGGCCCCUUGGGUAAUUUGUCCCUCUUGUCAAUGUUGUCCGCUGGGUGGAGCGGCCCACUUGGGUAAUGUGUCCCUCUUGGCAGUUUGGUCCGCGGGGCAGUGGGACCCCCUUGGAUAAUGUGUCCUUCUAGGCAAUGUGGUCAACUGGGCCAUGAGGACCUCUUGGUUAAUGUGUCCCUCUUGGCAGUGUAGUCUGCAGCGCGGUGGGGCCCCCUUGGGUAAUGUGUCCCUUUUGGCAGUGGGACCCCCUUGGGUAAUGUGUCCCUUUUGGCAGUGGGGCCCCCUUGGAUGAUGUGUCCCUCUUGGCAGUGUGGUCUGCUGGGCAGUGCAGCCUCCUUGGAUAAUGUGUCCCUCUUGGCAGUGUGGUUCGUUGGGCAGUGCGGCCCCUUGGGUAAUGUGGUCCUGAAAGCUGUCAUCUCUUGAUUGAUGUAGCUGAACUAAUUGUUAAUGAUAUCUGUUUCUAUAUAGUUAAAAUUUGAUCACAUCUGAUUAUCCAGUAUUACAGAGUUUAGCCUGUCCUAUAAUAUGGUAAUAUGAUAUAAUAUAAUAUUAAUAAUAAUAUGAUAUAAUAUUAAUAAUAAUAAUAAUAAUAAUAUGAUAUGCUGAUUGUUCAAUACUGCACAGCUCAUCCUAAUUAUGUGAUAUAAUAAUAGGAUGAUGUUAUAAUAUGUUUGAUUGCAGCACUCUGAUUACCCAAUACUAUACAACUUUGUCCAAUAAUAUGAAAUUAUGAUAUAAUAACAUUAUGAUAUAAUAAAAUGAUAUGAUAUAAUAGUAAGCUAAUAUGGAAUACUAAUAUGAUAGUAAUAUGAUAUAAUAAAAUAAUAUGAUAAUAGGAUAUAAUGUGAAAUGCUGAUUUCGCAUUAGCGCUACUCUCUUAUUACCCAAUACAACACAGUUCAUCCUGUAUAAUAAUAUGAAAAUAUGAUAUAAGAAUGUUAUGUAAUAAUAUGUUUUGAAUGCAGCACUCUGAUUACCAAAUUGUACACAGUGCAGCCUGUCCGAUAAUAUGAUUGAUUUAUGUUAUUAUUUACAUAGCGCCGUCAAAUUCUGCAGCGCUUUACAAUGGGUGGACGAACGGACAUGUAGUUGUAACCAAACAAGUUGGACACACAGGAACAGAGGGAUUGAGGGCCUGCUCAAUGAGCUUACAUGCUAAAGGGAGUGGGGUAAAGUGACACAACAGGUAAGGAUAGUAUUAGACUAGUGACAGUUGCAAGAGAGGAAUCAGUCAGGAGCUAUUAACAGUUUAAUUGAUACGUUUUUAUGAAGAAGUGGGUUUUUAAUGAUGGAGACUGGGUGAGCAUUAUUAUUUAUAAAGCGCCAACAAAUUCCACAGCGCUGUACAAUGGGUGGACACGUAUUUAUAACCACAAGAAACAAUUCACCCCCCACUCAGGUUCCGUUCAGUGAUCCGACCAUAUGCCUGGGACACACACUGCAAUCUGCAGAAGUCAAAGCUCAUCAACAAUGAACACAGGCGACACUCCAAGGUCUGUGAGGGUAGGGAACAAAAGUAGAUCGCUAGAAUAGUAUUAGUGUUUUGUCUUGAUGACAUGUAUGUACGUAGUGUGGAAUCGUGAUGGAGCAUACUAACAUAGAACUAUCCCAAUUACCACCCAAAUAAUGUCAGACAGCGUACUAUGGAUGAAACAGGCCACAGCAUUUAUUAUAACAUAUGAUAAAUACUAUAUAACACAUCUAUAAUUUAUUUUAAUAUUCUUCUUUACUUGAUAUAAACCAAACGUCAAACAUUAAAUAACCAUAACUUAACAAAUAAGUUAAUAUAUAGUAUCAUACAGUAUAACCCAACCGUCCUUGACAAUAUACUGACCAUGAGCCUAUGCACCACUUCUUCUCACCUCCCCUCUCGGCUCCUCUUUUCCUUCCAAUGCUUACCACCAGCCGACCUUAUCUUCGAUCGGUGGGCACGUCCAAAAAGGUAACCUAAGGUGGGUUAAGACCUGAAACUUGUGUUAAAAAAUGAUGGGCUUAGAGUCAUGUCUACAAAUGCUCGCAGUUUAGGGAAUAAGAUCCAUGAACUUGUGGCAAUAAUGGCAACUGAUAGUGUAGAUUUAGUCGCUGUUACUGAGACAUGGUACAAUGAGAAAAAUGACUGGGACAUAGCAAUACCAGGGUACUCUUUAUAUAGGAAAGAUAGGGAAGGCAAGAAAGGGGGAGGGGUGGCCUUGUAUGUGAAGGAUAGCAUAAAAUCUAGCCUAAUAAAAGUUAGUGAGGCAAACAUAGAGUCCGUUUGGGCUAUGUUAGAAUUUGGUAAUCACACAGUAACUCGUGUAGGUGUGAUUUAUAGGCCCCCAGGACAAAUUGAAGAGUUAGAUAAUCUACUAGUUGAGGAAAUAGCUAAAAUGACAAUGAAGGGGGAAGUUAUCAUCAUGGGUGACUUUAAUCUUCCUGAUGUAAAUUGGAAAACAAAAUUAGCUACUUGUGCCAGGAGCACACAUAUUCUAAACUCCCUACUGGGAUUGUCUCUAAAACAAGUUGUUGAGGCCAUACUAGAUUUAGUGUUAACAAAUGGAGAUUUGGUAUCAGAUAUAACUGUAGGUGAAAGUUUAGGAUCCAGUGAUCACCAGUCAGUGUGGUUUAAUAUAAGAACAGUGACUGAGUCACACCACACAAAAACAAAAGUUUUCGACUUUAGAAUAACAGACUUUUCUAAAAUUAGAAUAUGUGUAAAGGAGUCAUUAUCAGACUGGAGCAAUUUAAAUGGAGUCCAAGAGAAAUGUGAUUAUUUAAAAGUUGCACUACUGAAAGCAACAGAAAAUUGCAUUAGGCUUGUCAGUAAAAGCAAAAAAUUCAAAAAAACACUGUGGUACUCCGCAGAUGUGGCCAAAAUAGUAAAAAACAAACAGCAUUUAGUAAUUAUAAAAAAAAACCAUGGUGAGGAAGACAGAAUGAUCUAUAAGAUUAGGCAGAAAGAGGAAAGGGAUUUAGGGGUGAUAGACAUAUGAGGAAAGGGAUUUAGGGGUGAUUAUUUCUGAUGACUUAAAGGUAGGCAGACAAUGUAAUAGAGCAGCAGGAAAUGCUAGCAGAAUGCUUGGUUGUAUAGGGAGAGGUAUUAGCAGUAUAAAGAGGGAAGUGCUCAUGCCAUUGUACAGAACACUGGUCAGACCUCACUUGGAGUUUUGUACACAAUACUGGAGACCGUAACUUCAGAAGGAUAUUGAUACCUUAGAGAGGGUAAAGAGAAGGGCUACUAAACUGGUUCAUGGAUUGCGGGAUAAAACUUACCAGAAAAGGUCAAAGGAUCUUAACAUGUAUAGCUUGGAGGAAAGACGAGACAGGGGGGAUGUGGCGAAACCGACCUCGCCACUGGGCAUUGGAGAAGACUGAUUGCCAGCCUCCUGCCAUGUGACUAUGGCCCCUGGGAUGUAUUGCCCUUUAAAGACAUGAUUUGGGCAUAAUGGAUUUGUGUUGUGCUGCUGCUAGCCCUUUUAAGAACCAUCUGGGGACAUACUGUGGAGUUACUGGGUGGCCACCAUUUUCUGUAUCAGAAGCACAUGGUGAGAACAAUGGAUGGCGGCCAUUUUAACUCACAGACACUGUGUAGACUUUUCAACACGGUGCCAUCUCGCCAGUAUUUGUUGCACAGAGACAUCGUGCGGUGGUUUUGGACUAUACAGCAGGGGACACAUUAUACAGUGAUUGUUUUUUAUUUAGCCUGUAUAUGUUCUGCAGAAUCUGCAUUAAACUGUAUUUUCCAAAGUACUGAACGGAUCUGGGUGAAUUUUGGAUAUGUGGUUCACCCAGAUCCCCCAGUUCCAAGGAUAUACUUUAUGGGGUUAUUGCAUGUUUUGGGGUCCCUGUGAUGUGUUUUAUGAAACUGUAUUUCUCUGUGUAACGGAUCACCUGGCACCCCGACUGGGUACCUCCGUUGAAAGAUGCUCCUAGCGCUUCCAGAGGACUCCAAGCACUCCACCAGACACCAUAAGCACCGCAGGCUGCAGCUAUCUCCCUUCAGAACGAAGCAGGAACAAGCUCUUACAAGAGCUCAGUGAUUAUAGCAAGGGAAUAUGCCUAGCAUAGCAAUCCCUUGUAGCAGAUUCCCCCAAUAAGAGACAGGACUCAAGUUGAGGGUAAAAAUAGAACUCUCUGGCUGCUAGCUUGCAGCCCUUUUUAUUAGGUGCUCCCAUGAAGGGGAGGGACACACACAGUAACGUACAUUAACCAAUCACACAAUAGUUACAUCCCACACAUAGCCCUCCCCUCUACCUGUAAACUAAUUAUCUGUACACACAGGGAAAUACAAUUAUCAUAGGUAGGGAAAAUACAGUUUUUACACAACAUUCAUAACUCCCAAAAUAUACAUCACAUUCGCAUAAAAAUACAUAUUCACAAUCAAUCCAUUCAGGGGAACAACAUAUUAAAAAAUGGCAUGAAUCAGACCAGGGGUUCAAAAGUUAGUAAAAGUAUCUUUUGUUCCCCCUGGCUCAAACAGUAAAAGUAAAACAUCCCCACAAUGCAUCCUGGCUUCCUCCCUUCUGCCCUGGAGAUAAUUGGAGAACGAAUCUAAUUAUCUCCAAAGACAGAGCCAAACUCCAUUACCCACAUGGCAGACAAAAAGACAGUAAAAGACAUAAAAUUACAUACUGACACAUUUAGUACAUAAAACACACAUUUCUACAUAUCCCCAGAUAGCUUGGAUCUGACUGCACAUUAUUAGAUGAAUGGCACUCAGAUCACACGAAUAAAAUAAACAGUUUAACCUGCAGGGCCAUAGUCCAAAGGCAAGAGGCGGGCAAGCAGCCCCCUCCAAGGACACGUGGCGAGGUCGGUUUUGCCACACUUCUCCCCUUUGCCCCCCAGACUAACAGGGUAUCUGACCUCCUGCCGGUCAGUGCCCUGGUUAGUCCAGCAACCCACCCACGAAGCACAAACAGCAGUACAGCCCACCCACAAUAAAUGUUUACUCCACCUGGAUAAAGUAGCAACUUGUCCAUGUCCAGGUGCCUCACCACGGCUGUGUGGGGAGCUGGUAGACUGCCUUGGUGGGUUGCUGAGUGGGCAGAGACCAGCGGUACUCUGCCCUGGUGCCAGCGCUACCACCGAAGUAGCCUGAUUGGAGCCUGGUUGUGGGAGGGGGAGACCGACCGUCUCCCCUCUGGGUACACAGCUCUGGGGCUGGGGAACAGGACCGACCGUCUCUACCCCUUGGGCUGUAAGCGCAGAGACUACGGUCCCAUCUGCACAGUUGCGGGGCUCAACAUCUCCCCUUGGUGGGUUAGGCUGCCGCUGGAGAGAGGGUGUAACAAGCUCCUCUCUCUGGACUGUCAACUGCCGCUGGGGAGAGGGGUUAACAGGCUCCUCUCCCUGACACUCUCUCUGCUGGUGGAGAGGCGGACCAGCUGUCUCCCCUUUCAUUAUUUUGUCCUGCUGCUGGGGUGUGAGACUGACGGUCUCUGCUCCCUGCAGGACACACUGCCGCUGGGGAGGAAGGACGACACCUUCAGCUCCCUGGGGUACACACUGUCGCUGGAGAGGAAGGAUUGCACCCUCAGCUCCCUGGGGUACACACUGCUGCUGGGGAGGAAGGACGACACCUUCGGCUCCCUGGGUUACACACUGCUGCUGGGGAGGACGGACGACACCAUCAGCUCCCUGGGGUACGCACUGCCGCUGGGGAGGAAGGACGGCACCUUCCGCUGGGGCAGCCUGUAGAAAGUCAGGCUCAGGGGAAGGAAACAAGGGAGGACAGAGGCCAGCGGCGCUCUGCCCAGUUGCCAGCUCUUCUGCUGGGGGGUCAGGGAACAAAGGAGUUGGCUGGGAGGAGAAAUAUCACUUACCUCCCCCUGGUACUCCGGCUGCUGCUGGGGGGGGGAGGUCGAUGCUCUCCACUUUCUGUAACUCCAGCUCUAGUUGGGGAUCUGGGCCGGUUGCCCAGCAUCCCUGUAGGGCCGGUGGAGAGAUCUCGGUCCCAUCUCCACCUGCCUGCAGGGGUCCUCCCAGGACCAGUCUAUGAGGUCCUCUACCUCGGGUACCUCUGGUUGCUGUUGGGGAGGGAGACCGGUUGUCUCUUCCUCCAAUAACACAUUCUGCCGCUGGGGAGUGAGACCGACUGUCUCCCCUCCCUGUAAAACAUACUGCCGCUGGGGAUCUGGGCCGGGUGCCCAGCAUCCCUGUAGGGCCGGUAGAGAGACCUCGGUCCCAUCUCCACCGGCCACCUCGGUUUCUUCCUCGUCCCACUCUACCUGUGGCUGGAGUUUCUCCCAACGUGCCCACUGGCCUUCCCUCAACGCCCUGUGUUGUAGGUUCCGGGUCACCAUGUCCCACACGAACCGCACGUAUUUCUCCUCUGGAUUGGGUCCGUAAAACUUCAGGUGCAACCCUACCAUCGUACCAAACUCUAGUACGGAGUAGCUAUACGCCAUGCUUGCUGUAGCCACUGCUGGUUCCAUUAUGUUGCUGAAGAUAAGGACGCUGCACAACUCCACACGUUACCGGUGUCUCCGAGCUGCUUCUCCUCGCACUAGGAUGCCAUCCCACCGCUGCCACCAAUGUAACGGAUCACCUGGCACCCCGACUGGGUACCUCCGUUGAAAGAUGCUCCUAGCGCUUCCAGAGGACUCCAAGCACUCCACCAGACACCAUAAGCACCGCAGGCUGCAGCUAUCUCCCUUCAGAACGAAGCAGGAACAAGCUCUUACAAGAGCUCAGUGAUUAUAGCAAGGGAAUAUGCCUAGCAUAGCAAUCCCUUGUAGCAGAUUCCCCCAAUAAGAGACAGGACUCAAGUUGAGGGUAAAAAUAGAACUCUCUGGCUGCUAGCUUGCAGCCCUUUUUAUUAGGUGCUCCCAUGAAGGGGAGGGACACACAGUAACGUACAUUAACCAAUCACACAAUAGUUACAUCCCACACAUAGCCCUCCCCUCUACCUGUAAACUAAUUAUCUGUACACACAGGGAAAUACAAUUAUCAUAGGUAGGGAAAAUACAGUUUUUACACAACAUUCAUAACUCCCAAAAUAUACAUCACAUUCGCAUAAAAAUACAUAUUCACAAUCAAUCCAUUCAGGGGAACAACAUAUUAAAAAAUGGCAUGAAUCAGACCAGGGGUUCAAAAGUUAGUAAAAGUAUCUUUUGUUCCCCCUGGCUCAAACAGUAAAAGUAAAACAUCCCCACAAUGCAUCCUGGCUUCCUCCCUUCUGCCCUGGAGAUAAUUGGAGAAGGAAUCUAAUUAUCUCCAAAGACAGAGCCAAACUCCAUUACCCACAUGGCAGACAAAAAGACAGUAAAAGACAUAUAAAAUUACAUACUGACACAUUUAGUACAUAAAACACACAUUUCUACAUAUCCCCAGAUAGCUUGGAUCUGACUGCACAUUAUUAGAUGAAUGGCACUCAGAUCACACGAAUAAGCCUUUCUGCAGGGAAAAUAAACAGUUUAACCUGCAGGGCCAUAGUCCAAAGGCAAGAGGCGGGCAAGCAGCCCCCUCCAAGGACACUUGGCGAGGUCGGUUUCGCCACACUCUGGCUGUGAUAAUUAGUUUACCCAUUGUGUUCAGUAAUCAUAUCACAGCCAGAGGGGAGGAUUUUGUGUGGGAGUGUCUGGGUGUAGUGUAUGGAUUGAUUGGCUGUUUUGUAACGCCCUGUGGGCUGUACUAUGUUUGUGGAUUGGGAAUAAAAGAGACUGUAUGUGACAGUACAGGGAGUUCCUGUUUUAACUCUCAAAGUGAAGUGUCGUCUCAUUAUUGGGGGAAGGAUUCAUUGUAUGCUGUUCCAGUUUGACUGCUAGGAGAGUAAACCUAUUCGUAUGGUUCCUAUUCAACUGUCUACAGCAUUCAUAUGCUUGGGAGAAUUUAUUUGUUUCUCUGGUUCGGUGAUUGUGGUGUCUGCCAGAGUGCUUGGAGUCCUCAGGAAGCGCUAGGAGCAUCCUUCAACGGAGGUACCCAGUCGGGGUGCCAGGUGAUCCGUUACAGGGCAUAUGAUAGAAACAUUAAAAUAUAUAAAGGGAAUCAACACAGUAAAGUAGGAGACUAUAUUUAAAAGAAGAAAAACUACCACAACAAGAGGACAUAGUCUUAAAUUAGAGGGACAAAGGUUUAAAAUAAUAUCAGGAAGUAUUACUUUACUGAGAGGGUAGUGGAUGCAUGGAAUAGCCUUCCAGCUGAAGUGGUAGAGGUUAACACAGUAAAGGAGUUUAAGCAUGCGUGGGAUAGGCAUAUGGCUAUCCUAACUAUAAGAUAAGGCCAGGGACUAAUGAAAGUAUUUAGAAAAUUGGGCAGACUAGAUGGGCCGAAUGGUUCUUAUCUGCCGUCACAUUCUAUGUUUCUAUGUUUCUAUGUUUCUAUGUUUCACAUUCUAUGAAUGGCAAACCUUGGGUAACGACUCUCACAAACUAGCCAAGGACGUCUGAGGCAGGACGCCUUGAGCCCCGAGAGCACACACCCUACCUCAAGCCCUUUAGGGCCUAGCGAACCAUGAAAACCUUGGUAGCAUCUUCCCAUCCCUGCAACUUGAACAGGAAGCUGAGCCCUGCAAAGCGCGAAGAAAUCGCAGAGGGGGAUAACCCAGCAGACACCCAAGCCCCUAAGAGAGGUAAUAAACCCUGUAGGCGAGCAGACGAAUCAGGGAAACCCCCGAAGGAAGCUCCCACUCAUCCCAUUCACUCCACACCUUACUUUAGUGGGCCCAUGUGGCCGCUGAGACUGACCCACGAACCAUCAGUUACAUAUAUAGUUAUAUAGUUACAUAGCUGAAAAGCGACUUGCGUCCAUCAAGUUCAACCUUCCUCACAUAUGUUUUUGCUGUUGAUUCAAAAGAAGGCAAAAAACCCAGUCUGAAGCACUUCCAAUUUUGCAACAAACUAGGAAAAAAUUCCUUCUUGACCCCAAAAUAGCAAAUAUCAGUCUGCCAGACCAAGCGACCACAUCUCCACUGGGCAUGGGACACCGUCCAAUUCGGCCUGCAGAGCCACCUCCCAAAAUACAUCCCACUGCGAACGAGAGAGAGCAUCGACCAUUACAUUGCGAACCCCCAGCAUAUGCUCAGCCCUACAAGAUACAUUAAGACCCAAACAGCGCAGAACCAAGCGCCUGCAGCAAGCGUAUCACCGGGGGAGAGGAUGCGGUCAACUGAUUGGUCGCCUGCCCCACCCCCAAUGGAAAACUACCCGGCUGUCCGCGAGUUGGGGACCCCACACCUUUAAUGCCACCAGAAUGGGGAAGAGCUCUAGGAAAGCCAGAUUUCGCGUGAGCCCUGCCGUCUGCCAACCCACCGGCCACGAGGCAGUGCACCAUUGAGAGCCCAAAAUGGACCCAAAGCCUCCCGAGCCUGCUGCAUUGGUAAGCAGGUGGAGGUUGGCAUUAGAGUCCUCCGGGGCUGCCAAUACGUUCUACCGUUAUGGGAGGUCAAGAAGGAAUCCCAGACCACUAGAGUAUGCCGCAACGGCCGAAUAAAGUGCUGAGGGCGGGUGACCCCCGAUAUCGCCGCGGCCAGCCGCCUGUUAAAGAUUCGUCCCAUGGGCAAAAUCCGUCAGGUGAAGUUCAGCUUACCUAGGAGAGACUGCAGGCAGCACAGCUGAAUCUUACGUCACCCCAGGGCCAGCACCACCUCCUGAGGUCUUGAACCUUAUUCAGGGGCAACCGACAUUCCCCAGCCAUAGAAUCAAUCUCGAUGCCCAGGAAACUAAGGCAUGUAACCAGACCUACGGUCUUGUCAUGGGCCAACGGAACACCAAAACGCUGAAACACAUCCCAAAGAACCUUCAGCAGCAGUGCGGAGACGUGCGACUCUGCCGGCCCCACACACAGGAAGUCAUCCAGAUAGUGCAAAAGUUAGUUGACCCACGCUUCCCUUCGCACCACCCACUCCAGGAAAGUGCUAAAGCCCUCAAAAUAAAAACAGGAUAGGGAGCAACCCAUAGGGAGGCACAUAUCCACAUAAAACUGACAGUCAAAAGUACAACCCAGGAGAUGAUGACAAUCCGGGUGCACCGGUAGCAGCCGGAAAGCCGAUUUCACAUCUGCUUUCGCCAGCAAGGCCCCAGGGCCUGGAGCCCGGACCAUGCGGACCUCCGCAUCAAAGAAACCCGGGAAACUUCGGAAGAACUUUCAUCAUUUUCAUCAUUUACUGAACCCCCUGGAGGGUACGACAAAUAAUGAAUCAGGCAAUAUUUACCCUGCUCCUUCUUGAGCACCAUGCCCAGAGGAGAAACCAGCAGAUUGGACAUAGGGGGAACACAAAAGGGAUACUUCCUUGUUAAGCUUCUCCCGAAAGGAAAUUCCCGAAUGGAUCGCAGGUUCCGAACAGAAAGUAAGGGAGGGCGAACCAAAAAGGGGAUCCAAAAACCCAACUCAAAACCCUCCAACAGGAUCGGUGCUGCCCGAUGAUUCUUAUAAAAGUCAAGCCAUGGGCACAUCGUAUUUACUACUAGUGACUGUCAUUGUAUUUCCAACAAAAGCCUGGCCCCCACUGCCCCCCCCAAGAAAGGAUGUAAUAGCGCAUUGUUAAGGUGCCGGGCGAAUCAUAAUUAAGAGCCAGAGGCCUAUGUCCAUCUGGUCCCAGGACAAAGAUGGUCGCCCUGCCAGCCACUGACGAAAUUGCUUGUCGUACCUCCACCAACUUAGCCCUCCAUAGGUACGACACGCAUUCCAGAUAGUGUCCUGAUAGCAGAACAACGCAGAGCAUUUUUGGGGGAGCGUUCUCCCCGUCGCUAGCCAGGAUAGAAAACGCCCGGAUCCAAUUCCCAAACGUGUUGGGGAUUUUCCAAUAGCGGUAUUUUUCCUUUUCUUUUUUUGGAAUCCUUACCGUCCUUCUCAACCAAGGAAGGAGCUUCCUCCAGUGGCAGGAGGGAAAAUAUCUCUAGGAAAUCCCCUUUCCAAAUCGUCUCCCUAGUUUAUUGUUUCAAGUGCAAGCCGAGCGGGCCAGACCAGCACAUAUAAGCAGCGGCCCGAGCCACAUCAGAUACGCCCGGCUCCUGGAAGCUUCACCAGCACUAGCUACUGUGCAGGACGCCGCAGUAAAGGUGGACCUGAGGUUGCCGAAGGCAACGGACCACUACUACCUACUGCCACAGACACAGGGGAUCCCAAGGACUGCGCAGUAGGGGGCAAUUGAGCUAGGGUCCAAACCGUCCUGAGCUGACUAUCCAGAGGGGACUCCCUGCUAAUUUUUACCCCCUGUUCCCACUGAUCUAAAAAACCCUGCAGGGGGGGGGGGGGCAAAAACAUAAAAGUAAUAAAACUGAACUACUUGAUCAAUUCGUCCUCCAAUCAUGGAGGGUGAGCAUGUGCUUGAUCCAUAAAAAGCAGAGCCUUGACUGGUACGUUAACACUUGGCCCAAACCACUCAUGAACCCACUCAAUAAAACAUUUACCUGGUUACCCAAACUUUGCUGUUAGUCCUCCACAUCACCUGCAAUUUGCUUUUUAGGACAUGUUUUUUCUUAAAUACCCUUGGGUUCUCCGAGUGGUAGACUAGCAAAGGCUUCAAUUUAAAAUCUCCACUUGCAUUCCCACAGAACAACAGGGUUAGCCUGUCCUUCAUUGAUUUUUGUCCUCGCAAUGAUUUCUCCUCCUUUGUUAUGUAGGUCCUCUUUUCAUUUUGCAUUGUCUUUCAAAACAGGCCUGUCUCAUCACAGUUAAACACUUGUUGAGGAAAGAAUUCCUCAGCCUCUACAUAGGCUUUAAAUUCAGCAACAAAUUUCUCAGCCCCGUCUUUGUUGGCACUAGAAGCUUCACCAUGUCUCACCACACUGUGUAUGCCACUUCUCCUGAAUUUACCAAUUUGCUGACAUAAUUGAGCAGUUUGCUGACAAAAUAGAGCUAUUUGCCUAGAGAAUAGAGCUGUUUCCUAACAGAAUGGAAUGGUGAUGCGUCAUACUAACGAGGUUACCACAGAGGUGAAUGCCGCGUAAAUUGUUCGGGUACCAAGGAUCGUUUGCGUACCGAGACAAUUUUUACUCAAAAUUUUUGUUCAACUUCCGAAUUGUUUGAGAAAGGGACCGUUCGAGUUCCAAGGUUCCACUGUAAUGAUAUUAUAUGAUAUAUGAUAUAAUAACAAUAACAUUUAUAUAAUAAAAUAAUAUGGUAUGACAAUAUAAAAAUAUGAUAUAAUAAUAUGAUAUAACAAAAUGGUAACAUGAUAUAAUAAUAAUAUGACAAUAUGAUAAUAAUCUGUCCAAUAAUACACUACUCUAAUUGCCUGGUAAUAUUCUACUUUGACUCCCCACUUAUAUUGGGUUCUGUAUUCCAGGCCCUCAUUCUAUAGGAUCAUUAUAGCCAUUAUAGCAAUGGCUGCUUUCAGUGUAUACCAUUUAGAGAACCAGACUGUGUAUCAAACUCAUCACCCCGAGGUCUCCACAUUCUCCCUGCCAGCAUGUACAUAUACAAUAUGGAGAGCCAAUACAGGGUGCUAUCAUGCAAGGUUUUGACAGUGGUUAGAUUAUCCCUUAAUUUACAUGAUAUUAAAUGGUGAUUCACCCUGUGAAGGAGGACCCCCUUGUUCUGAUGCAGUGCCUAUUGAAGUGCCAGAAAAUAAUCGGAUACUGCAAUAACUAUAGCCAUUGCUUUUCCCAAAAUGUAUCACUUAAAAAAGUCAUACACAGUCUACAAAACACUGUGCCAGUCUAUUCAAAGCUAGGGAUGUACCCACAUUAAUGUGUCUUUCGAAUCGAUGGCGUGUUGGUUAAUAACGUACUUUGAGCUUCAUUUAGAUUACAUGGUCACUGACAUACAUUUUUCUUUUGCAAUUUUAAUAUUUGAGUUCAUGGUUUGUUUCUGCUGUGUGAAGGGUGGAUUCGGAGAUGCUAGUGGAGGAAGGAUAUUCGGUGGUAAGCGUUGAUGCCAGCGACAAGAUGCUAAAAUACGCUUUAAAGACUCGGUGGAACCGUCGGAAAGAGCCAGCUUUUGACAAGUGGGGUGAGAACAGACAUUAUUUGGUACCCACGAACUGUGUCCUGAUAUUUUAC
rnacentral:lncRNA from 1 species